UACAGAGGGAGCAAGCGUUGUUCGGAAUUACUGGGCGUAAAGGGCGCGUAGGCGGUUCGAUAAGUCCCGUGUGAAAUCCCUCGGCUCAACUGAGGAAUGGCACGGGAAACUGACGGGCUUGAGUUCGGGAGAGGGAAGCGGAAUUCCGGGUGGUAGCGGUGAAAUGCGUAGAUAUCCGGAGGAACACCGGUGGCGAAGGCGGCUUCCUGGACCGACACUGACGCUGAGGCGCGAAAGCUAGGGAGCAAACGGG
rnacentral:rRNA from 1 species